rnacentral:rRNA from 1 species
AUUGAACGCUGGCGGUAUGCUUAACACAUGCAAGUCGAACGAUGAGAAAGAGCUUGCUCUUUCGAUUAGUGGCGGACGGGUGCGUAACGCGUAGGAAUCUACCUAUUAGUGGGGGACAACUUAGGGAAACUUAAGCUAAUACCGCAUACGCCCUACGGGGGAAAGAAGGGGAUCGCAAGACCUUUUGCUAAUAGAUGAGCCUGCGUAGGAUUAGCUAGUUGGUGGGGUAAAAGCUCACCAAGGCGACGAGCCUUAACUGGUUUGAGAGAAUGAUCAGUCACACUGGAACUGAGACACGGUCCAGACUCCUACGGGAGGCAGCAGUGGGGAAUAUUGGACAAUGGGCGAAAGCCUGAUCCAGCAAUACCGCGUGUGUGAAGAAGGCCUUAGGGUUGUAAAGCACUUUCAAUUGGAAGGAAAACCUCGAAGCUAAUACCUUCGAGUUUGACAUUACCUUUAGAAGAAGCACCGGCUAACUCCGUGCCAGCAGCCGCCGUAACAC